AUUGAACGCCGGCGGCAGGCUUAACACAUGCAAGUCGAGCGGAGAUGAGGUGCUUGCACCUUAUCUUAGCGGCGGACGGGUGGGUAAUGCUUAGGAAUCUGCCUAUUAGUGGGGGACAACAUUCCGAAAGGAAUGCUAUUACCGCAUACGUCCUACGGGAGAAAGCAGGGGAUCUUCGGACCUUGCGCUAAUAGAUGAGCCUAAGUCGGAUUAGCUAGUUGGUGGGGUAAAGGCCUACCAAGGCGACGAUCUGUAGCGGGUCUGAGAGGAUGAUCCGCCACACUGGGACUGAGACACGGCCCAGACUCCUACGGGAGGCAGCAGUGGGGAAUAUUGGACAAUGGGGGGAACCCUGAUCCAGCCAUGCCGCGUGUGUGAAGAAGGCCUUAUGGUUGUAAAGCACUUUAAGCGAGGAGGAGGCUACUGAGACUAAUACUCUUGGAUAGUGGACGUUACUCGCAGAAUAAGCACCGGCUAACUCUGUGCCAGCCGCCGCGGUAAAAC
rnacentral:rRNA from 1 species